rnacentral:rRNA from 1 species
UCCAGACUCCUACGGGAGGCAGCAGUGGGGGAUAUUGCACAAUGGGGGGAACCCUGAUGCAGCGACGCCGCGUGGGUGAAGGAGCGUUUCGGCGCGUAAAGCCCUAUCGGCAGGGAAGAAGGAGGACGGUACCUGACUAAGAAGCCCCGGCUAACUACGUGCCAGCAGCCGCGGGAAUACGUAGGGGGCAAGCGUUAUCCGGAUUUACUGGGUGUAAAGGGAGCGUAGGCGGCGAUGCAAGUCAGAAGUGAAAGCCCGGGGCUCAACUCCGGGACUGCUUUUGAAACUGUGUUGCUAGAUUGCAGGAGAGGUAAGUGGAAUUCCUAGUGUAGCGGUGAAAUGCGUAGAUAUUAGGAGGAACACCAGUGGCGAAGGCGGCUUACUGGACUGUAAAUGACGCUGAGGCUCGAAAGCGUGGGGAGCAAACAGGAUUAGAUACCCCGGUAU